UACAGAGGUCUCAAGCGUUGUUCGGAUUCAUUGGGCGUAAAGGGUGCGUAGGCGGCGCGGUAAGUCGGGUGUGAAAUCUCGGGGCUUAACUCCGAAACUGCAUUCGAUACUGCCGUGCUUGAGGACUGGAGAGGAGACUGGAAUUUACGGUGUAGCAGUGAAAAUGCGUAGAUAUCGUAAGGAAGACCGGUGGCGAAGGCUGAGUCUCGUGGACAUGUUACUGACG
rnacentral:rRNA from 1 species